rnacentral:rRNA from 1 species
AUGACAGGAACAGCAACAUCCUCAAAGUAUUCAGAUUCAGACUUCAGCAGCGGCAUGGCAGGGAUGGUUUUCUCCUUGGAGAGUUCAUCCGUGCCACUGUUGUGCGUUACCGGCGACAAGUCAGGAAUGACGACCUCCUCAAAGCAUUCAGACCCGCAUUUCAGCGGCGACAUGUCAGGGAUGAUUUCCUCCUCGAUGGGUUCAUCCACAGCACCGGCAUUGCCUUCAGUCUCACACUUUGCCUGUGACAUGCCAGGAUUGACGACCUCCUCGAAGCAUUCAGAGUCACACUUCAGCAGCGACAUCUCAGGCAUGACUUCCUCCUCAGAGAGUUCAUGCUCAUCGCCACCACUGGUGCCAUCUUCAGGUUCGCCAUUCACUGGCAACAUCAGGAACGCUCUUCGGCAGCAGCACGUCAGGGAUGGUUUCAGGGAAGAGCUCGUUCGCACCAUUGCCAUCUUCAGGUUCACGCUUGACCGGAGACAUGUCGGCGAAGAGCCCCCCAAAGGGCAGUUCGGAAUCGGACAUCACCAGCAGUGGCUCGACAGGGGUGCUUUUGACAUCAGGCUUGGCCUCAAGAGGCUCCAUCUGAUGGAUAGUAGGUUCAUCUUCUUCAAUCUCAUAGGGGUUAUCCAAGCGAUCACCAGCAAUGCGUCCGUGCAGGCCACCAUUACCAUUGGCGAUGAUAGGGAUGGUUUCUGCAGAAUGCUCCGACCGAUCUACUUCCACCUUGACUUUGAUCUACAGGGCAUGACAGGAAAAAGAGAAGAUGUUCCCGUGGUUCAUGAAUUUUACAUCAGGUGA